AUGUAAUGUAAUGCCUACAACGUCAAUGCAUCAUAUCCCAUUAGAGAUCCACAGUGAAGUGCACUUGGGAUAGAGUAGUACUGGGAUGGGUAACCUCCUGAGAAUUUCUGGUGUUUUGCAUG
rnacentral:rRNA from 1 species